GUGCCAGCAGCCGCGGUAAGACGAACCGUGCGAACGUUGUUCGGAAUCACUGGGCUUAAAGGGCGCGUAGGCGGGCUUGCAAGUCUGUGGUGAAAUCCUCCAGCCCAACUGGAGAACUGCCGUGGAUACUGCGAGUCUCGAGGGAGGUAGGGGCGUGCGGAACAGAUGGUGGAGCGGUGAAAUGCGUUGAUAUCAUCUGGAACUCCGGUGGCGAAGGCGGCACGCUGGACCUCAUCUGACGCUGAGGCGCGAAAGCUAGGGGAGCAAACGGGAUUAGAAACCCUCGUAGUCC
rnacentral:rRNA from 1 species